rnacentral:pre_miRNA from 1 species
UGUGGGAUUGCUGGGUCAUAUGGUAAGGGUACUUUAUAAGAAACUGACAAAUUGUUUUUCAGAGUGGCUGUAUUAUUUUGCAUUUCUACCAGCAAU